UGUCUGUGGACAGGUUGC
rnacentral:misc_RNA from 1 species